rnacentral:rRNA from 1 species
UACGUAGGGGGCAAGCGUUGUCCGGAAUCAUUGGGCGUAAAGAGCGUGUAGGCGGCUUGGUAAGUCCGCUGUGAAAGUCCAGGGCUCAACCCUGGAAAGCCGGUGGAAACUGUCAAGCUUGAGUCCGGAAGAGGCGAGUGGAAUUCCUGGUGUAGCGGUGAAAUGCGCAGAUAUCGUCAGGAACGCCAAUGGUGAAGACAGGUGACUGGGCUAGUUCUGACACUGAGGCACGAAAGCGUGGGGAUCAAACGGG